rnacentral:lncRNA from 1 species
GCAGAAAACUAGCAAAGACAUACUUUGAAGGACAUAAGGGUUACAGUAACCUUUUGAAAGACAUAAGUAGAGGAGAUGUCGACAAAAGAAGAGCUCAAAAUCUAGCAAAAGACUAUAUUGGAGAGAGCAAGG